CAGGAGAUAGUUUAUUAAAAAUAAUAGCUUUGGGAGUUAUUGAAGCAAGUUUGAUUCUUGUUCUUUUGA
rnacentral:tRNA from 1 species